rnacentral:rRNA from 1 species
UACGAAGGGUGCAAGCGUUACUCGGAAUUACUGGGCGUAAAGCGUGCGUAGGUGGUGAGUUAAGUCUGUCGUGAAAGCCCCGGGCUCAACCUGGGAAUGGCGAUGGAUACUGGCUCGCUAGAGUGCGGUAGAGGAGAGUGGAAUUCCCGGUGUAGCAGUGAAAUGCGUAGAGAUCGGGAGGAACAUCAGUUGCGAAGGCGGCUCUCUGGACCAGCACCGACACUGAGGCACGAAAGCGUGGGGAGCAAACAGG